GUCGGGAUAGCUCAUUUGGUAGAGCAGAGGACUGAAAA
rnacentral:tRNA from 1 species